AAAGCGCCAUAUUUUCAGUGUCUUGGCUCUUGUGAUACGCUUUUUAUCAUAACAACGAAUGUUUUAUGACGUAUAACACAUCGGUAAAUGACGUAUUUAGUUCUUAGUGGAAUUUCUUCCGUUUUUAAAUUCUGAGUUCAAAUUCCGCUGCAGUUGCGUUUGCCUUUCAUUUUUUCGGGGUCGAUAAAUACGAACGUCACAAACUGUUUUGCAACUAUGUACUCCGAGUGAGAAACCUCUUCAGCUGCAGCAAAAUUGAGUCGAACAGUUUGUGAAAAUAUAAACAAUUAUCAAGUUUUUUCGUGUGUGAUAAUAAAUAACUCCAAAGACA